UCCCCUUGUUAAGAAAAAAAAGGAAAAAAUAUGCACUGCAUCGAUGAUGGACAAGAAGAGAGAUAUACUUGUUAAGCAAAAAAUAAAAGCUCUACUUUCAAAACAGCAUAGACAGGUCAUAUUAUUGCUCAAUGAACUUGUUCGAGCCAAUGCAAAUCAAAAAUGAAUAUGUAUAACAGCCAGUGCAAUACAUCAUGCAAGAUAAUUCAAUAAAUCUCAUACCAAGAAAACCAUCUAAGGUUCCAAAGGUUGCACCGGCAGGUUACCGAUUCGGUACAGUAUAGAUCCAUACUGUAUCGUGCCGAAGCAUACCAAAACAAGGAGAGGGAGUGGGAGAAAGGGAGGGAGGAGAGGGGAGAGAGGGGAGGAAGCAGGAGAGGGAGGGGGAGAGGCCAAGAAGCUUUGACUGUCAAUGGGGAGCUUCAAGAGGCCCAGAUCCGGCAAUGGACUAAGAGAGAGAGGGGGAGAGAGAGGGGGAGAGAGAGGCCAAGAAGCUUCGACUAUCAACAGGGAGCUCUGUGAGCCCCAAAUUCGGCAAUGGACUGAGAGAUAGAGGGGGGAGGGGAAGAAAGAGACUAACCUGUCAUCACCACCAUCAUACGUCGUCGUUGUCGACGGAUGGCUUCGAAUGAGAUUAGGGCAUCAAAUAGAGGGAGCAAGGCUGGUGAGCGACCAAGGCUUCAAAGUUAAAUAGAGUUGGCCUUUUAUAAUCUGUUUCGACCAGUUGAACCAUGCUAGUAAUCGGCCAAUCUGAUUUGAUAAGCCAGCCGAUUUGGCACAUUCCGAACCAGCCGGUUCGGCACAUCCCGAACCACCAGGUUCGGCACAUCCCGAACCACCAGGUUCGGCAUGGUUCGGCAAUCCUUGCAUCUAUCCUUAUAUAAAAUCCAAAUCUUUCAAAUUCCUAUCACCCUCAUGUCUUUAAACUAUCUUUUCUUGAGAGAAUGAGAGAAGUUGGAGCAAAGUCAAAGCUAGUUUUCACGUCCAAUAAUUGUAAACAUAAAAAACUAUGAUAAAAUCUUGGUGCCAUUCUAGUCACAAAAUUCAUUACCAGCUGACACAAACAAGCCAUAUAAAUUUAAACUAGUUAAUCUAAUUCAAGUACCUCU
rnacentral:lncRNA from 1 species